CCCUGGCUGUGCGGGAUUUCCCUUCGCGCGAGUCGGGGCAAUCCAGGAGCUGCUCCAGAGGCCCCAGUAGGUUCCCAGCCAAGCCUGGGGUCACUGGCAUGUAAAAGGAUCCCAGCUCCAGAGAUUCAGGGAAGUGGGCAGGGUAUACGGAUUCCACAUCACUGAGGUAAUCUAUGUAAUUUAAGUAAAUACCUAUUGUUCAAGUUCCAUAUGUAAGCCGGGACCCUGCAAAGGAUUCAAUUACCGUAGGCUUCACGCAGCCUUCCUAGGCAGCAGCAGACGUCAGACUGCUCAUGGACGCUGUGCUUUCUUUCCCACCUUGAUAACGUUUCACCUGCAAGUUUGUAGACGUCUUGGACACUGGGACCCUGGAGCCUCGAAAGCCUGACAGCUCCCAUACAAAGGUUUGUAAGGCUGAAACUGUGUUCCUGUUGUGUUCCCGUGUCCAUCUCAGAACAGAUGGGUAAAGGAACAGAACUACAUUUCAGUCAGAAGUCACUGCAAGACAAGCAGGGAAAUUUGCUCUCUUCAGAAGUCCCUGGGACCGGUUCUGCACUGAAGGGCAACCCACCAGGUCCAGAGUUCUCAUCAUUACUUUUUCCUUGAGAGAGCACCUUUGAAACUAUACAUAAACAAUUACAAAUGUCUCCUUCACA